rnacentral:rRNA from 1 species
ACCCGCUGAACUUAAGCAUAUCAAUAAGCGGAGGAAAAGAAACCAACAGGGAUUGCCCUAGUAACGGCGAGUGAAGCGGCAACAGCUCAAAUUUGAAAUCUGGCGUCUUUGGCGUCCGAGUUGUAAUUUGCAGAGGGCGCUUUGGCAUUGGCAGCGGUCCAAGUUCCUUGGAACAGGACGUCACAGAGGGUGAGAAUCCCGUACGUGGUCGCUAGCCUUUACCGUGUAAAGCCCCUUCGACGAGUCGAGUUGUUUGGGAAUGCAGCUCUAAAUGGGAGGUAAAUUUCUUCUAAAGCUAAAUACUGGCCAGAGACCGAUAGCGCACAAGUAGAGUGAUCGAAAGAUGAAAAGCACUUUGGAAAGAGAGUUAAAAAGCACGUGAAAUUGUUGAAAGGGAAGCGCUUGCAGCCAGACUUGCCUGUAGUUGCUCAUCCGGGUUUUUACCCGGUGCACUCUUCUAUAGGCAGGCCAGCAUCAGUUUGGGCGGUUGGAUAAAGGUCUCUGUCACGUACCUCUCUUCGGGGAGGCCUUAUAGGGGAGACGACAUACUACCAGCCUGGACUGAGGUCCGCGCAUCUGCUAGGAUGCUGGCGUAAUGGCUGU